AUACGGGAGUGGCAAGCGUUAUCCGGAAUUAUUGGGCGUAAAGCGUCCGCAGGCGGCCCUUCAAGUCUGCUGUUAAAAAGUGGAGCUUAACUCCAUCAUGGCAGUGGAAACUGUUGGGCUUGAGUGUGGUAGGGGCAGAGGGAAUUCCCGGUGUAGCGGUGAAAUGCGUAGAUAUUGGGAAGAACAUCUGUGGCGAAGGCGAUUUUCUGGGCCAAUUCUGACGCUGAGGUUCGAAAGCGUGGGUAGCAAACAGGAUUAGAUACCCUGGUAGUCCACGCCGUAAACGAUGAGUGCUAGUCGUCGGACUUAUGUUCGGUGUCGUAGCUAACGCGUUAAGCACCCCGCCUGGGGAGUACGGUCGCAAGAUUAAAACUCAAAUAAAUUGACGGGACCCGCACAAGCAGUGGAGCAUGUGGUUUAAUUCGACGCAACGCGAAGAACCUUACCAGCUUUUGACAUGGGAAGUACCGGUUACAGAAUGGUAACCUUCAGUUCGGCUGGCUUCUACACAGGUGCUGCA
rnacentral:rRNA from 1 species